rnacentral:antisense_RNA from 1 species
ACUCCACGCAGAACACAGCGCAGAGUCCUUUAAAGGAAGGCCAAAAGCAACCCAACAAAAAUGCCAGGUGAUCAAAGCCCUCACAACACAAUGUCCACAUCCAACGAGAAAUUGCUGCUACGUCCAGACACAGGGAAAGGUGGCCGUGGGAAUGUGAGUCAGCAGCAACAGGCCCAGAAGGGCAGCCAUGGUGGAGUUGUCAGACAUGGACCCUGAAAUGACAAUUACAGCGUGAUUUCAGGCAGGAGCCUGAAAUGGUACAACUUUGGACAUCGGUUUGGCAAAUUCUUUGAGAGAGAAACACACACCUUCCCUAGGACCCGGCAACUCCACUCCUAGUAACCAAGUGAAAUGGAAGGAGUUGUCCUCAGUAAAACGUGUGUGCGGAAGUUCACACUCACUUCCUCUGUGAUAACCAAGAGCUGAAACCACUGCAACACCCACCAGCAGGUGAACGGAUGAACACACUGGGCUACGGCCACACAAUGAGAUGCUACGUGGCAACACAAAAUGAACCGUGGACACACACUGCAUGGUGGAUGAAUGUGCAGACAUCAGGCCCCGUGAAGGGAGCCAGGCCCCGAGGCGCCACGCUUUGUGAUUCAGAGAAGAAAGCACGCAGCCAAACAGUGUAAAGAGGCUCAGAGGAGGCCUGGGUGCCCUGGAGAGGCCCUGCGUCGCACAGCAUCCCUGUCCUGCAGUGGAGGUUUCCCAGAUGAAGGGGUCCCCGGCGGGAGACAGGGCCCUGCACACAGGUCCUCUGCCACGCUGCUCACCAUGCUGUGCGUUAUCUCACUAUG